GUGGGGAAUAUUGGACAAUGGCCGAGAGGCUGAUCCAGCCAUGCCGCGUGCGGGAGGACGGCCCUAUGGGUUGUAAACCGCUUUUGUUGGGGAGCAAUAAGGUCUACGUGUAGACUGAUGAGAGUACCCAGCGAAUAAGCAUCGGCUAACUCCGUGCCAGCAGCCGCGGUAAUACGGAGGAUGCGAGCGUUAUCCGGAUUUAUUGGGUUUAAAGGGUGCGUAGGCGGGUGCUUAAGCGUGAGGUGAAAGCUCGGAGCUCAACUCCGGAACUGCCUCGCGAACUGGGUGCCUUGAAUGUCCGUGCCGUGGGAGGAAUGUGUGGUGUAGCGGUGAAAUGCAUAGAGAUCACACAGAACACCGAUUGCGAAGGCAUCUCACGAACGGAUGAUUGACGCUGAGGCACGAAAGCGUGGGGAUCAAACAGG
rnacentral:rRNA from 1 species